CGCGCGGUGCUCAGACUCCACGCAGGCCUGCAACACGCGGCAAGCUCAAUGGUGGUCCAGAUGCAGACGGCGUCUGCAAGA